rnacentral:rRNA from 1 species
UGUCGCCUACGGGGCGCAGCAGUGGGGAAUAUUGCACAAUGGGGGAAACCCUGAUGCAGCGACGCCGCGUGAGCGAGGAAGUAUUUCGGUAUGUAAAGCUCUGUCAGCAGGGAAGAAGAAUGACGGUACCUGAAGAAGAAGCACCGGCUAAAUACGUGCCAGCAGCCGCGGUAAUACGUAUGGUGCAAGCGUUAUCCGGAUUUACUGGGUGUAAAGGGAGCGCAUGCGGUUCUGCAAGGCUGAUGUGAAAACCCGGGGCUCAACCGC